rnacentral:rRNA from 1 species
GACGAACGCUGGCGGCGUGCUUAACACAUGCAAGUCGAACGGUAAGGCCCUUCGGGGUACACAAGUGGCGAACGGGUGAGUAACACGUGGGUGAUCUGCCCUGCACUUCGGGAUAAGCCUGGGAAACUGGGUCUAAUACCGGAUAGGACUCCUGGCUUCAUGGUUGGGGGUGGAAAGCUUUUGCGGUGUGGGAUGGGCCCGCGGCCUAUCAGCUUGUUGGUGGGGUAAUGGCCUACCAAGGCGACGACGGGUAGCCGGCCUGAGAGGGUGACCGGUCACACUGGGACUGAGAUACGGCCCAGACGCCUACGGGAGGCAGCAGUGGGGAAUAUUGCACAAUGGGCGCAAGCCUGAUGCAGCGACGCCGCGUGAGGGAUGACGGCCUUCGGGUUGUAAACCUCUUCCAGCUAUGACGAAGCGCAAGUGACGGUAGUAGCAGAAGAAGGACCGGCCAACUACGUGCCAGCAGCCGCGGUAA